UGCAGAACCUCAGAAUACAGAACCACCAGGGU
rnacentral:piRNA from 2 species